AGAAUCCUCUGGCCUUUACUUCUCCCAAGUGGUGAAAUACAAGUUAAUGUCUAUGAGCAUAAUUAAUUCAGCUGUAUGCAGAGCCACGUGCUUAUCAGUAAGGAUAUUUUAAAAAUUCCAUGGUAGUUACAUCUUCAUGUGUAUUUCAAAAACGACUGAUGAUGUUUUUUCUCUAUAAUAUUUUAAUUAAUUACAGGAUAAGUAUGAAGCACUUCUAACUUACUGCCCUGAUUAAAUAGCCAACAUGCCGAUAAGAAAGUUUCUAUUACAGACUACUCUUCAUUGAGAAGGUGGUCCUCCUGUCUGUGGCUGAGCCUCAAUGGAGAGUGCUGACUCCUGGUUGACAUCUGCACGAACUGUACAGUGUUCUGAUCUGUCUCAAGUUAAUGAGUCUUCAGGGCAGGGAUGUGGACUACUGAAUUUCUGUAGCCAUCAUGAAGAAAGACUUUAUCAUUUGAAAAGUCACUGGAUCGCUGGAUAUCUUUCAGAAAAACAGCAUUCUAAGUGAUUGAUAUCUUAUUUAUUAGCGAUAUGUAAUGAAUGCCUUAAAGAUCUUUUGUCAAGGAUUAGAAUAUAUAUUUCAGUCAAGUGUUACUUUGAACUCCAAAGCUUCCUGACUUUAUCUCUGAAGUGAAGGGAUCACAAGAGUACAUCACCGAGAACGGUUUGCCAACUUGAAUUGGUAAGAAAAAGUUUCAUGUGUGUCUUGAGUCAUCAUAGGGAUGCCCCUUAGAAUCAGGGAUAAGAAAGUCUGAGGGAAUGGCAGAAGAGAAGGGAAGGAGAUGACCAAAAUGGGCUAACUGGUACAAUGACAUUUGUAGCUCAAACAUGAUGAAUUUAUUUCAAUCCCAAGAAUCUGCAAAAGUUAUGCUGACAUACACAAAUGCAUCCUGUGGCAUGAGUAUAGAUGUGCACACACACACACACACACACACACACACACACACACACACACACACCAACUACACAGUAAUAAUAAGAAUAAAUAAAAUGUUCCAAAAACAUAGAAAAAAGAGAAGGGAAAGAGAAAAUGGAAAAGCAAAUAAAUGUCAAAGUGACCCAAUCUUCAUCCAACAUGAGGAGACAUUAAACCAGAAACUAUUUCUUGGCUAAGAAUUUAACUGGUGCAUGAUAAGAGAAAAGCUUAAAAAAAUUAAUCUAAGCAUAGAGUUUGUAGACACAGGAAAACCUCUAACAGGAAAAUGUAUUUAGUUCUUUUCUUCCUAAAUUUUCAUUAUGCACAGCCAAUAUUGAAAGAAAACGUUUUCGUUUAUUUAUGACAUGAAGUGAAAAGAUUUGCCCUGCUAUGCUUUCUUCUUGUAAGUCAGAAAUGUUCCCCUGGUGUAGACCUUCUUCAGAACAUUGGUGCAUGAAAUGAGAAAAGAGGUUCUGGAUCCAUGACGAAUGUUUAAACCCACGUGGAGCUUCUACUAAACGGAAGUUACUGCUCAAAUGAUCGCUCACUGUCUUCUGAAAUAGAAACGUGACCCACAUGAAUGGAAAUAGCUGGGAGAAGAUAACCUGACUCUGGACUUCAAGUUUCAAAGGGAGCAGAUCUGACUGACCAUGAUUCUUAGAUGUUCAGCCCUGGGUGGGGGCAUUGGAUUACCAAGAUGGAAAUUUGACAACUGGCCUACAUCACUCAAGCAAGGACUGGAAAAAUAUUUUACAAGCUGUCCUUUCACUCUGACACUUAGAGAAAACGAUAAUGAUUUUCAGCGCAAGCAGAAGCUAAGAGUGUGUAAACUAAAUGCUCUUAAUACCUAUAUGGGCUUCAAAGAAAUAUCUUCUUGAUAGGAAGUUAUUUUUCACUGGUUCUAGGUCUGCAAUCAUUGUGAUGGAAUAAAAAUUCAAUCUACAUGACACUAAUCAAUCUUAGAUGAAAAAGUACAAAGUUACUGCAGAUAACUAUUGCAAUAUCAUUACAUAGAUGAGGUUAGAAACUGACAACUUUUUCCCAUUGCCACAUGUGUGGCAUACUGCUGACGUCAUAUAUGAAAAAAUUACGACAUGGCAUAACAGUAAGCCCCUUACGUAGGAAAAACCUGAGAUAACCAUUCGAGGUCGCCGUUUGCUUCUUGUGAUAUCUACCAAGCACUGAAUUUUGGAAGUGAUUUGUCAGACAUAUCUUGAUUUCUUCAACACAUUAUUAGUGAAAGCACAUUGAAGUUAUAUUUAAUUGGAUCCACUACUUAAGGAAUACUGAAAAUACAGAAAAGUUAAGUUUGUACUAAGUGCAGUGUGAAGAUUUUCAAUGGAAGUUCGGGCAAACACGACAAGAAGACAAUUGACCUCUCGUUUGAAGAGAGAUUUUUAGCUUUUCAACUUUGUCUUCACAAUGGAGUCAUCCAUACCAAAAAUGAACGUGGCAUUUGAAAUUUGAAGAUGGCAUUUGAAAAACGAAGGUAGCAUUUGAGUUAAUUCACCUAAUGCAAGCCUAAUAAACGAUAGUUGCAAUUAUUGUAUAGAUGUGUAUAUUUGUAUGUUGUAGAGUUAGGA